GCAGCAGCCACGGGAAUACGAAGGGUGCAAGCGUUACUCGGAAUUACUGGGCGUAAAGCGUGCGUAGGUGGUGGUUUAAGUCCGUUGUGAAAGCCCUGGGCUCAACCUGGGAAUUGCAGUGGAUACUGGGUCACUAGAGUGUGGUAGAGGAUAGUGGAAUUUCCGGUGUAGCAGUGAAAUGCGUAGAGAUCGGAAGGAACAUCUGUGGCGAAGGCGACUAUCUGGGCCAACACUGACACUGAGGCACGAAAGCGUGGGGAGCAAACAGGAUUAGAUACCCCGGUAGUCCCUGUCUCUUAUAC
rnacentral:rRNA from 1 species